GACGAACGCUGGCGGCGUGCUUAACACAUGCAAGUCGAACGGAAAGGCCCUGCUCUUGUGGGGUGCUCGAGUGGCGAACGGGUGAGUAAAACGCGAGUAACCUGCACUUGACUUUGGGAUAACUCUAGGAAACUGGGGCUCAUACCGGAUAUGAGAUCCUGCUGCACGGUGGGGGUUGGAAAGUUUCGGCGGUUGGGGAUGGACUCGCGGCUUAUCAGCUUGUUGGUGGAGUAGUGGCUUACCAAGCUUUAGACGGGUAGCCGGCCUGAGAGGGUGGCCGGCCACAUGGGGACUGAGAUACGGCGCAGACUCCAACGGGACGCAACAGUGGGGAAUAUGACACAAUGGGCGGAAGCCUGAGGCGGCAACGCUGCGUGCGGGAUGACGGCUUACGAGUUGUAAACCGCUGUCGCCUGUGACGAAGCGUGAGUGACGGUAAUUGGUAAAAAAGCACCGGCUAACUACGUG
rnacentral:rRNA from 1 species